UGAAUUAGAAAUUUGAAAUAGAUAAAUGGUAUAAAAGUUAUACAUGUACUAGUUAUUGUUUUUAUACUUGAUUAAACUAAAUAAAAAAUAAAUACUAUCCAAUAAAAUUUACUCAAAUUCUCUGAAAUUUCAUCUAUGAUCGAUCCAUAAAAAGAAUUCACUUAAAGGAUCUCUAUUAUAUAUCAAUAGAAAUUCCUCAUAUAAAUCAAAUUUUUAUUUUUUUAAUUUUACCCAAAAAAUAUAGACUGUGAAUUAAAUAUCUAUUUUUGGUAAAAUAUGAGCGAGUCUAAUGCAUUAAUUUACCAAAUAAGUAAAACAUAAUAUGGAAUUAUGCAAAACCACAUUCUUUCAUCUAAACUAAAGGAGGUAAGUAGCUUAAAUUAGAUAUAUUGUAACAUAGGAUACAUUUGACUUCUUAUAUAUACAUAUACUUUCUUGUUUCUUUCUUUUUCUUUACACGCAACAAAUAUUCUGAUAAAAAGUAUAAUCUAUUCAUUUAUAUUACCGAGGAUGAAAAAAUUACUUAUAUUUUCAUUUAAUCUUUUAACCCUCCUCAUCGUUCUUGCACUAGUGGCCGGAGCGAUGGGACAGAGGAAUAAAAAAAAUAUAUAUGUCCCAUAUAUUUAGAUAACCAAAAGCCUGAAAGUUAUCCAGACAAAGCCAGCUUGCCUAUCUGCGUGCAAGAAGAGGACAAAAGGGUUAGGGAUGCCGAAAGUAACCACCGGUUGCUUCUCAGGAAACAAAUGUGCAUGCUAUCUCCCAUGUCCAAAAUGAUUUUAAUGUUUAGUUUAUUGACAAAAAAAAUAAUGAAUUUAUAAUAAAUUAUGAUGUGAUUUAUAGUAAUUAUCAAAUAAGUUGUCAAAUUAUGUUAUUGUCAAAUUAUAAUAACAAUAAAAUAUGAUCAUUUUCAGA